AAUACGUUCCCGGGCCUUGUACACACCGCCCGUCACACCACGAAAGUCGGCAACACCCGAAGCCGGUGGCCUAACCCUUUUGGGGAGGAGCCGUCGAAGGUGGGGUCGGUGAUUGGGGUG
rnacentral:rRNA from 1 species